rnacentral:rRNA from 1 species
GGAGGAGCCCAGAGCCUGAAUCAGUGUGUGUGUUAGUGGAAGCGUCUGGAAAGGCGCGCGAUACAGGGUGACAGCCCCGUACACAAAAAUGCACAUAUUGUGAGCUCGAUGAGUAGGGCGGGACACGUGGUAUCCUGUCUGAAUAUGGGGGGACCAUCCUCCAAGGCUAAAUACUCCUGACUGACCGAUAGUGAACCAGUACCGUGAGGGAAAGGCGAAAAGAACCCCGGCGAGGGGAGUGAAAAAGAACCUGAAACCGUGUACGUACAAGCAGUGGGAGCCUCUUAAUGGGGUGACUGCGUACCUUUUGUAUAAUGGGUCAGCGACUUAUAUUCUGUAGCAAGGUUAACCGAAUAGGGGAGCCGAAGGGAAACCGAGUCUUAACUGGGCGUUAAGUUGCAGGGUAUAGACCCGAAACCCGGUGAUCUAGCCAUGGGCAGGUUGAAGGUUGGGUAACACUAACUGGAGGACCGAACCGACUAAUGUUGAAAAAUUAGCGGAUGACUUGUGGCUGGGGGUGAAAGGCCAAUCAAACCGGGAGAUAGCUGGUUCUCCCCGAAAGCUAUUUAGGUAGCGCCUCGUGAAUUCAUCUCCGGGGGUAGAGCACUGUUUCGGCAAGGGGGUCAUCCCGACUUACCAACCCGAUGCAAACUGCGAAUACCGGAGAAUGUUAUCACGGGAGACACACGGCGGGUGCUAACGUCCGUCGUGAAGAGGGAAACAACCCAGACCGCCAGCUAAGGUCCCAAAGUCAUGGUUAAGUGGGAAACGAUGUGGGAAGGCCCAGACAGCCAGGAUGUUGGCUUAGAAGCAGCCAUCAUUUAAAGAAAGC